ACGAACGCUGGCGGCGUGCUUAACACAUGCAAGUCGAACGGGCCCGCUCUCUUUUUUGGGGGUGGGUUGAGUGGCGAACGGGUGAGUAUCACGUGAGUAACCUGCCCCCUGCUCCUGGAUAACUGCUUGAAAGGGCGGCUAAUACGGGGUGUGCCGGCUGGUCCGCAUGGGCCUGGUCGGGAUAGUUUCAUCUUCGGGUGUUUCGGUGGGGGAUGGGCUCGCGGCCUAUCAGCUUGUUGGUGGGGUGAUGGCCCACCAAGGCGGUGACGGGUAGCCGGCCUGAGAGGGUGGGCGGCCACACUGGGACUGAGACACGGCCCAGACUCCUGCGGGAGGCAGCAGUGGGGGGUAUUGCACAAUGGGCGGAAGCCUGAUGCAGCGACGUCGCGUGAGGGAUGGAGGCCUUCGGGUGGUGAACCUCUUUCUCCGGUGGUGAAGGCCCUGUCCGUUGCGGCGGGGUUGACGGUAGCCGGGUAUGAAGCGCCGGCUAACUACGUG
rnacentral:rRNA from 1 species